rnacentral:lncRNA from 1 species
AAGGAGAGAGGCGGCCCGAUGAUUCAUUGCUAAGAACUGAAGCUGAUGGCAAUGAGCAGGCAACUCUAUUGAAGCUCUAUCAACUCUGGGCCCUUGCUGCAAAUCUGGUUUGAAGCACCUGACUAGCGAGUACCCAUCGAAGCUCCACGGAGCAGGGGAGACUUUGGAGACGGCAAGCUCCGCUGAGCACCUUGAAUUCUCGUCAGUGGUCCAGUUGUGGAUGGUGUUAUCCACUGUUUCUCCCCAAGAACAACAUUCGAUGCAGUUGAUGAGACUGCCAAGAGAUCUAUUCUGAUUCAUUUUCUUAAGUUGUGCGGGGUAGGACUUCUAGAGCUAUUUAGGAUGAAUCAUUGCCACCCUCGAUCAAUCAGAUGGGUCGGGAAACUUGAAAUAACAGAUCAGAGAGCCACCGACUGACGGUCGGAAUUUGAGGUUGAGGACCGAGAAUUUUUGUAUACCCAAGCGAUCGGUGUCAAAGGGAUUGCUAUUUUGCUGCGACGGUGAGAGCCGAUGGUAUUCAACACCACCACCCACGAACUCAACUGGCAUGAGACCCCGAUCCCUUACCGACCCCUCCUUUUCCUGGCCGGAAUUGAAGGCUAAUGCUCACACACUCUGACCCAAGUUCGAACUUUGGAUCAAGGCCGCCUGAGUUGUGCUGGAAGUUCCAUGACUGAGGAGCUUUGGGCUCGAUUUAUGAGAUUCCCAAAAUUAUCAGUAAUUUGCUUUACGUGAGCCUGAACUGCGGUUGAUAAGGAGGCCGGCGCUGGUUAUGGAUGGCGGAUCUCGCCGAGAAUUGUUGAGAAACAUAGAUUGAUUGCAAGGAUCAGAUGUGCGACCCACUUGGAGGCGACCAUUUUGGAGAGUUUCGCUGGGAGCUAAGAAGGAUCCGAUCUGGAUCUGGGAGAGAGAGAGAGAACGGCGGUAGGAUGCCGUCGCGACGGCGCUGGCCGGAGUUCAAGAUGGUGGUAGCCGAUUUAAUCGGGCUUUGGGAGAGAGAGAGAACGGCCAAGGGGAUGCUCA